GGCAGGUUUGCAGAGCGGCCAAAUGCAUCUGACUGUAAAUCAGACGGGUAACCUUCGGGGGUUCAAAUCCCUCACCUGCCACCA
rnacentral:tRNA from 2 species